rnacentral:rRNA from 1 species
AUUGAACGCUGGCGGCAGGCCUAACACAUGCAAGUCGAGCGAGCGGCGGACGGGUGAGUAAUGUCUGGGAAACUGCCUGAUGGAGGGGGAUAACUACUGGAAACGGUAGCUAAUACCGCAUACCAUCAGAUGUGCCCAGAUGGGAUUAGCUAGUAGGUGGGGUAACGGCCCGCCUAGGCGACGAUCCCUAGCUGGUCUGAGAGGAUGACCAGCCAGCCUGGAACUGAGACCCGGUCCAGACUCCCACGGAAGGGAGCAGUAGGGAAUAUUGCACAAUGGGCGCAAGUCUGAUGAAGCCAUGCCGCGUGUGUGAAGAAGGCCUUCUGGUUGUAAAGCACUUUCAGCGGGGAGGCGUUACCCGCAGAAGAAGCACCGGCUAACUCCGUGCCAGCAGCCGCGGUAAUAC